rnacentral:rRNA from 1 species
UACGAAGGGGGCUAGCGUUGCUCGGAAUCACUGGGCGUAAAGCGCACGUAGGCGGACUCUUAAGUCGGUGGUGAAAUCCUGGAGCUCAACUCCAGAACUGCCUUUGAUACUGAAGAUCUUGAGUUCGGGAGAGGUGAGUGGAACUGCGAAGUGUAGAGGUGAAAUUCGUAGAUAUUCGCAAGAACACCAGUGGCGAAGGCGGCUCACUGGCCCGAUACUGACGCUGAGGCACGAAAGCGUGGGGAGCAAACAGG